AACCUGCCUCAAAGAGGGGGACAACAGUUGGAAACGACUGCUAAUACCGCAUAAGCCCACGGCUCGGCAUCGAGCAGAGGGAAAAGGAGCAAUCCGCUUUGAGAUGGCCUCGCGUCCGAUUAGCUAGUUGGUGAGGUAAUGGCCCACCAAGGCGACGAUCGGUAGCCGGACUGAGAGGUUGAACGGCCACAUUGGGACUGAGACACGGCCCAGACUCCUACGGGAGGCAGCAGUGGGGAAUAUUGCACAAUGGGGGAAACCCUGAUGCAGCGACGCCGCGUGGAGGAAGAAGGUCUUCGGAUUGUAAACUCCUGUUGUUGAGGAAGAUAAUGACGGUACUCAACAAGGAAGUGACGGCUAACUACGUGCCAGCAGCCGCGGUAAAACGUAGGUCACAAGCGUUGUCCGGAAUUACUGGGUGUAAAGGGAGCGCAGGCGGGAGAACAAGUUGGAAGUGAAAUCCAUGGGCUCAACCCAUGAACUGCUUUCAAAACUGUUUUUCUUGAGUAGUGCAGAGGUAGGCGGAAUUCCCGGUGUAGCGGUGGAAUGCGUAGAUAUCGGGAGGAACACCAGUGGCGAAGGCGGCCUACUGGGCACCAACUGACGCUGAGGCUCGAAAGUGUGGGUAGCAAACAGGAUUAGAUACCCUGGUAGUCCACACCGUAAACGAUGAUUACUAGGUGUUGGAGGAUUGACCCCUUCAGU
rnacentral:rRNA from 1 species